rnacentral:rRNA from 1 species
CCUACGGGAGGCAGCAGUGAGGAAUAUUGGUCAAUGGACGAGAGUCUGAACCAGCCAAGUAGCGUGAAGGAUGACUGCCCUAUGGGUUGUAAACUUCUUUUAUAUGGGAAUAAAAUGUUCCACGUGUGGGAUUUUGUAUGUACCAUAUGAAUAAGGAUAGGCUAACUCCGUGCCAGCAGCCGCGGUAAUACGGAGGAUCCGAGCGUUAUCCGGAUUUAUUGGGUUUAAAGGGAGCGUAGGUGGAUUGUUAAGUCAGUUGUGAAAGUUUGCGGCUCAACCGUAAAAUGGCAGUUGAAACUGGCAGUCUUGAGUACAGUAGAGGUGAGCGGAAGUCGUGGUGUAGCGGUGAAAUGCUUAGAUAUCACGAAGAACUCCGAUUGCGAAGGCAGUUCACUGGACUGCAACUGACACUGAGGCUCGAAAGUGUGGGUAUCAAACAGGAUUAGAUACCCGUGUAGUC